rnacentral:rRNA from 1 species
AGAGUUUGAUCCUGGCUCAGGACGAACGCUGGCGGCGUGCUUAACACAUGCAAGUCGAACGGAGAUAUUAGAGGAAGCUUGCGAAUCUAAUAUUUUAGUGGCGGACGGGUGAGUAACGCGUGGGUAACCUACCCUAAACACCGGGACAACAGUUGGAAACGACUGCUAAUACCGGAUAAGCUCAUGAAGCGGCAUCGCUUUAUGAGGAAAGGUGGCCUCUGAAAAUGCUACCGAUUAAGGAUGGACCCGCGUCUGAUUAGCUAGUUGGUAAGGUAACGGCUUACCAAGGCAACGAUCAGUAGCCGGCCUGAGAGGGUGAUCGGCCACACUGGGACUGAGACACGGCCCAGACUCCUACAGGAGGCAGCAGUGGGGAAUCUUCCGCAAUGGGCGAAAGCCUGACGGAGCAACGCCGCGUGAAUGAAGAAGGCCUUCGGGUCGUAAAGUUCUGUCUUUAGGGAAGAAGUCUUUUUAUGUAAAUAAUGUAAAGAGGUGACGGUACCUGAGGAGGAAGCUCCGGCUAACUACGUGCCAGCAGCCGCGGUAAUACGUAGGGAGCAAGCGUUGUCCGGAAUUACUGGGCGUAAAGGGCGCGUAGGCGGGAUAUUAAGUUAGGUGUGAAAACUCUGGGCUCAACUCAGAGACUGCACUUAAAACUGGUAUUCUUGAGGACAGGAGAGGAAAGUGGAAUUCCUAGUGUAGCGGUGAAAUGCGUAGAUAUUAGGAGGAACACCAGUGGCGAAGGCGACUUUCUGGACUGUAACUGACGCUGAGGCGCGAAAGCGUGGGGAGUGAACGGGAUUAGAUACCCCGGUAAUCCACGCUGUAAACGAUGGGUACUAGGUGUAGGAGGUAUCGACCCCUUCUGUGCCGGAGUUAACGCAAUAAG